UCGUGUGAUUGGAAAAAAAUAAAAAACGGUAGCCCGCGGUUAGCACGAUUGGAGAGCACGCCAUCACCAGAUAAAAGGGUAACCGUCAGGGAGCACGAUCGGAGACUGGAGACAUCGUGGGAGAUGAUCGGAGUAGAUAUGGCCUCAUCGCUAUUCACCCGUCUCUCAGUUUACAAUUCAUUUGAUUGAAAAGAGAAAACUCACACGGGAAGAGAAGCAGAGCAAACUCAAACCCAGAGUGAGGGAAAGAUUAGUAUCAAAAUCGGUUGCAGAUUCACGUUUCUGAACAAACCUCUCGCCAACGAUUCUAUCUGGGUUUAAUAAAUCAAGCUUAAUGCCUUCAAAGAGUUUGGAGGGACUUUGCAUACUUGGGUAGUUUCUAUAUAUCUUGAAGGAAUCGGAAAACUUUGGUUACAGGUGAAUUAAAUGGGAGAUUUCUGAACAUUGUGAGAAAAUGAUGUCUGCUAAUGUUGGUUCCAGGUACUGUUUCUGUCUCCUAUGUUCUUAUUUCUUCAAGUAAUCAAUUGGUAUGCAAUUUGGGGGGGGGGGAAGAAGCAAAUGAACCAAACAAAACUAUGUUUCUCUAUUGAUCAGGUAUGAAUGGGAGAUGCUUUUCAUUGAUGACCGUUGUUAGGCCUUUUCAUACAUUAUAUCCGCUGCCAAUUGUAUCUGGAUUCAAUUGCCAGAUACAGAUUAAAUAAAAGGAGAAACGCAGUCCAUAAAGACGAAAAGCGGAAAAUCAAACAGAAAGGAAAAGAACAAUAUCAACCAUCAUUAUUCGGUUCAAAAUUUCAAAUUCCGGUAUAACUUGCCAAUUGUUCUUUGGAUAUAUAGAUUGCAAUUCUGCACUUGAUUGCAAUUCGAUCUGCUCUAGCAUAGAUUGCACUUAUGUGUGAGCCUUGCUGAUUUAGUUUUUGGUUAAUCAAUAUUCUUUGUCAAUGGUUAAGUAAUUUGCUUGAAACGGUUCAAAAUUCAUACUUUGAUUUUCUGUUUCUUCUUGCAGAGAGUAGGCAACUGAUGGUAUGAAUAAAACAAAUGCAGAAGUUUUACAGAAUUAUGUUUUUUUUUUUUGGAUGAACAGUUUACAGAAUUAUGUUUGUAGUGUUUAAGUGGUGAGAAAACAUUUCAUUCCUUGCUUCAAUGAAUAGAAAACAUAUAUUCAAUCUUGCGAGUUUGUGCUUUUUAAAUGUUGUUGCUUUCUUGGUGCAGGUAAUUGCAAUUAGUUCUUUUGGGUUAGUUGUUCAAUAUGUCAACUCUUAGUCCUACUUCUCGAUCAUAAUUUUUUCUUUUUCUCUUUCGACCUGCAAUCCAUCAUUAUUUUUUCAUUUUCUCUUUGAUUUUCAAUCCAUUUAGAAGGAAGAUAAUUACAGAAAAAACCUUGAUGUUUUAACAACUUAAAUAUUUGUUUCCGUAUUUUUCGUUUUAACAGGAUCAAAGUGAAAGUUAUGUUGCACGUCUCUAUUAUUUGGUCAGUUUCAAGAUCAGAAGAGAUGUUCGUUUUUGUUACUUUCUUUGGUCUUCAUUGAAGGGGAAACAGAUGUUCUAUUAGCUAAUUGCUUGCGAGAUUGAUAUUUCUAUCUUUCCUGGUAGAUGGUGAAUCUUUGCUCUUCCGAAUGACUCUGCGUUUUACAUGGUAGUCAUUAGGCUUUUAUUUGUCUAUUAGUUUGUUUGUGUGCAAAUAGUGUGUUUCACAGGGUUGAGAAGACUUCUUUGAUGAAUCGGUUUGUUUUAGUGAUUAGCUGUUUAAUUUCAAAGGUAUUGUGUUAUGUUGUUUAGAUAGAACAAUUUUUCUUUUUCUUGACCAUAAUUCGUAUAGAUAUGUUAAUAAAAAGUUCAGCAAUCAAUAAGAGGUGACUACUGGAGCCGAUUUCUUGACGAAAGAAGUGCAGUUCGAAGAUAGGAUCUUCACCAUACAGGUCUUUUUAGUCUUAGUUCAUCUUAUUGAUUCAAGCAUUCAAAUAUUACCGCACAAGGAUGUUUCUCGGUUUAAAUGUGGGGGAUGUGUUGGAAAGGAAUUUUGUUGGCAACAAGAGGAUCUGGAAUGUGCAAGCUCUUGCCCAGUAAUGUUGAAUUGUUUGUAACUGAUCGAGUAGAGGAGAGUAACAACCAUCAAGGUUGAACUGCAGUAGAUACAAGGCAACUGGCGAUCUCUCUUGCUGAUAUCCUUUUUAGUAGAGAUUGAGCAUUAGUUUGUAUUUAAGAUACAUGGAUUAUGGUUGUACUUUUGAGUUGGACAGAGACAUUGGAGGUGUGGCAUUUCAUAUUGUACUAUCUUAUAAGUGGUCUAUAAACAAAAUAGGUAAAUGAAAAAAAAAAUGUACGUCAUAGACAAGUUGAUGUUUCUAUGUAAAUAUUUUGCAAAAUAUUAUAAUAUUUGACAAGAUAAGCUUC